rnacentral:rRNA from 1 species
GGGUGCAUGACGCGCUCGUUGUAUUUCCUUCCUUGUGUGUCAACGCCAGUUCGCGAUCGAGGAAAACUCCAGGGUCAUGGUAGCUUGUCUCAGGGUGAGCGAACAGCCUUGGCAGAACUCAUUUGCGGACUGUUUCUUUCGUGUCUGGUUGCAAUGUCUUUGGCAUCUUGGAGACCUCGCCAUGGCUUUGCCAUGGGCGAGCGACCCAGGUGACUCGGCAUUUCCCUGACGCACAGACGAUCACUAAAUGGUUCUAUUCGACCCGUCUUGAAACACGGACC